CGUAUGCUGACUGCGGAGGAUCAUUAUCGAGUUUUGAACGGGUUGUAGCUGGCCUCUCACGAGGCAUGUGCACGCCUGGCUCAUCCACUCUUAACCUCUGUGCACUUUAUGUAAGAGAAAAAAAUGGUGGAAGCUUCCAGGAUCUCGCGAGAGGUCUUCGGUUGAACAAGCCGUUUUUCUUUCUUAUGUUUUACUACAAACGCUUCAGUUAUAGAAUGUCAACUGUGUAUAACACAUUUAUAUACAACUUUCAGCAACGGAUCUCUUGGCUCUCGCAUCGAUGAAGAACGCAGCGAAAUGCGAUAAGUAAUGUGAAUUGCAGAAUUCAGUGAAUCAUCGAAUCUUUGAACGCACCUUGCACUCCUUGGUAUUCCGAGGAGUAUGCCUGUUUGAGUCUCAUGGUAUUCUCAACCCCUAAAUUUUUGUAAUGAAGGUUUAGCGGGCUUGGACUUGGAGGUUGUGUCGGCCCUUGUCGGUCGACUCCUCUGAAAUGCAUUAGCGUGAAUCUUACGGAUCGCCUUCAGUGUGAUAAUUAUCUGCGCUGUGGUGUUGAAGUAUUUAUGGUGUUCAUGCUUCGAACCGUCUCCUUGCCGAGACAAUCAUUUGACAAUCUGAGCUCAAAUCAGGUAGGACUACCCGCUGAACUUAAGCAUAUCUAAAAGGGGGGAAGGA
rnacentral:rRNA from 1 species